GGACGCGCGCAUGCGCGGGGUCUGCCAGCGGGCUCUGGAAGUCUUGUUUGUUUCAUGUCAGUGUUCACAGUGCAAGUACAUCUGUGGCAGGCAGAGCAUGCAGAGUUCAUAAGCACAGCAUUGUGGGGAAUCUGUCUCAAAGAGGCACAGAUGUUAACCCAGAGGAACAGAAUAAAGUCCAUUGAAAGAGUUGGAAGUCUCUCAUUUCAUCCCCAAUUUUAAUCAUUUGAAUGAAUUGUUUUUUUAAAUUUUUGAGUUGUGUAUUCAAUAAAUUCAAUAAACAGAUAAGCAGUGAUACA